AUAUUAUGGUGAGGGCAACUCGCCAGCAACCUCUUGUAUCUCUCCCAGUAUUCAUAAAGAGAUUCUCCAGUAAUCUGUAGAAUACCACUAAUCUCUUUACGAGAAGC